UACGAAGGGUGCAAGCGUUACUCGGAAUUACUGGGCGUAAAGGGUGCGUAGGUGGUCGUUUAAGUCCGUUGUGAAAUCCCUGGGCUCAACCUGGGAAUGGCAGUGGAUACUGGACGGCUAGAAUGCGGUAGAGGGUAGUGGAAUUCCCGGUGUAGCAGUGAAAUGCGUAGAGAUCGGGAGGAACACCAGUGGCGAAGGCGGCUACCUGGACCAGCAUUGACGCUCAAGCACGAAAGCGUGGGGGGCAAACAGG
rnacentral:rRNA from 1 species